CCUACGGGCGGCAGCAGUGGGGAAUAUUGCACAAUGGGCGAAACCCUGAUGCAGCGACGCCGCGUGAGUGUAGAUGUACUUCGGGAGGUAAAGCUCUAUCAGCAGGGAAGAAAUAUCGACCUUUGGGUCGCCAGACGGUAACCGUUCAAGUAGGCCUGGCUAACUACGGGCCAGAAGCCGCCGUUAGACGUAGGGGGCAAGCGUUAUCCGGAUUUACUGGGUGUAAGGGGAGCGUUGACGGCAGCGAAAGUUUGAAGUGAAAUGCCGCGGCUUAACCCCGGAACUGCGCUGGAGACUGUGCAGCUAGAGUGCAGGAGAGGUAAGUGGAAUUCGUGGUGUAGCGGUGAAAUGCGUAGAUAUUAGGAGGAACACCAGUGGCGAAGGCGGCUUACUGGACUGUAACUGACGUUGAGGCUCGAAAGCGUGGGGAGCAAACAGGAUUAGAUACCCGGGUAGUC
rnacentral:rRNA from 1 species